rnacentral:lncRNA from 1 species
GUUUAGGGUUUAGGGUUUAGGGUUUAAGGUUUAGAAUUUAGGGUUUAAGGUUUAGAAUUUAGGGUUUAGGGUUUAGGGUUUAGGGUUUAGGGUUUAGAAUUGAGAAAUGAGGUUUUAGGGAUAAGAUUUCAAAUUUUGAAAAAUAAAAAAAUUAAAAUUUUCAAAAGAUAAAAUGCUAUUUUGGUCAUUUUAGUUUUUGAAUGUUAUUUUUGUGAUAUAAACUUAGAAAUGUGCUAUUUUGGAGAUUU